UGGGAGAUCGUCUAACGGCAGGACAGCGGACUCUGACUCCGUUAAUCUAGGUUCGAAUCCUAGUCUCCCAGCCA
rnacentral:tRNA from 1 species